rnacentral:lncRNA from 12 species
AUUACUUUAGGGAAUUGAAUAGCCAUUUUUGACAAAGGAUCAGGUACUAACAGAUAGACAAAAUAGAUCUCAUCCUGCCUCACUUCUGCAAAACCUCCUACACUCUUCAAGAAUGGAGAAACCGGUUCCAGCACUAGGCUGAAUUCCUCUUAUUUUCAAGGUAAAUGCACCUGAAAUUUUUGAACCCUUUCUGCUCUCUCUGUAGACAGAAACACGUAUCUUAAACGGAUGUGUACAAACA